rnacentral:sRNA from 1 species
ACCCUGUGUACUUACCUAAACGUUGCUUCGGGGGGAAUAGACGGCCCGGUAAAACGGGCCGCCCCCGCAAGAGGACCCUUAAAUCUGUUUCUUAUAGUGUUUCUUUUGAGUAAAACAAGCAAAUAAAUUAAAACUUUCAACAACGGAUCUCUUGGCUCUGGCAUCGAUGAAAAACGCAGCGAAAUGCGAUAAGUAAUGUGAAUUGCCGAAUUCAGUGAAUCAUCGAAUCUUUGAACGCACAUUGCGCGCGCCAGUAUUCUGGCGGGCAUGCCUGUACGAGCGUCAUUACAACCCUCAGGCCCCCGGGCCUGGCGUUGGGGAUCGGCGGAGCCCUCCGUGGGCACUCGCCGUCCCCCAAAUACAGUGGCGGUCCCGCCGCAGCUUCCCUCGCGUAGUAGCUAACACCUCGCGACAGGAGAGCGGGGCGGCCACGCCGUAAAACACCCAACUCUUCUGAAGUUGACCUCGAAUCAGGUAGGAAUU